AACUGGACUAUUGGGUUAGCAUCUAAAGAUGGUCCAAGUUUUUUCUCUUAAAGCUACCCUUUUUCUCUAACUUUUCUGCCUGGGUUUCAUGGUGGCAUCCCCUGGGAUGCAUGUAUUUUAAUUUAUCACCCUUCAUUUUCAGGAAGCAUGGUUCUGGCCCAGAGAUCAGAUACUUGAAUAGAAAACAAGGCUGGGUGCUUUUCUACUUUGUUGUUGUACAUAUGGGCAUCCAUAACACACCAUUUUUAUUUAUUUUUUUAGCAGUUCUUGAUUGGUGGUUCUGUGUUGGUAAAUGGGAGAGCUAAUAGGCCAACUCCAAUUCACAGAGGAGAAGAAAAGGAUCAGUAGGCUCAGUUAUUCAGUUUCAUCCCAUCAAAUUCUCUUCAAUCAAAAUCAACCCCACAGAGCUCACUUAUUUUCUAACUCUUCCACUUUGUUGAGUAUGUCUUCAGGGUGACAUUUGCUUAGUAUGUCCCAUAUGUGUGUGAAUGACUGUAGGAAUAUAUGAUAAAAACAUUAAGUAUCUCUUAGAAAUUACCUUACACAUUGGUUCCCUUUUACUUUGGAGAGUUUUAAAUUCAAGGCAUUUUUUGAGGUAAGGCUCACUAAUCUUCGGUGAUUGAUAACUGCUACAAAUGGAUACCCUGUAAGGAGAAUUCAAUACUUUUUUUUUUUUUUUUUUUGAGGUACGCGGGCCUCUCACUGUUGUGGCCUCUCCCGUUGUGGAGCACAGGCUCUGGACAUGCAGGCUCAGAGGCCAUGGCUCACGGGCCUAGCCGCUCCGUGGCAUGUGGGAUCUUCCCGGACUGGGGCACGAACCCGCGUCCCCUGCAUCAGCAGGCGGACUCUCAACCACUGCACCACCAGGGAAGCCCGAGAAUUCAGUACUUUUAAACAUGGCAGAAUCUAACAAACAGGCAGCAGAGAAAAACAAAAUGUUUUCUCAUUUACUAACCAGAAAACUUAGCUGAGAGUUGAAUUAAGGGUUGAAUUAUUCUGUUUUUUCAGUGAAAUGCAGUCUUACAAAUCAAAAUCACUUCUUACAAUCAGGAAAAACUCUGCAGUUGUUUCUGGAACAACUGAAUACCUGUUAUUUUUCUUAUCUUAGGGUAGAGGUUCAGUAUUCGCUUGGGAGAGAAAGGCAGUAAUUAACUUUGUUACUCUUCUUUUUCUUCAGAGGAAUCUUCUAGCAUGCCCAGUCUACCAUUAACUUCUCAAAUUUGUUAUCUGGGUGUCUUCUAGAGGCUCAAGAUGAUUUCCUUCCCUGUGUGGUGAAUUUUAGGCAUGAUCUAAAAGGGUAUCCAAAAGAUUCUUCCUUUUACUCUGAGCAGCAGUUGCCCGUGUCUCUUUAGUCUGAAUUAAACUGGCCGUGAAAAUGAGUGCUGUAUCCAGACAGGUCCAUGCUGAAAGUUUGUGAAUACCCUGGAGGAUGCUCUAGCUGUUGUAACUCAAAAGUGGGUCCUAUCCUACAGAGAGCUCCUUGACAAAACAACAGCUUCCAAAAGACUCAGCAAUGUUUGGUCUUUAAAGUGGAGUGUUGUUUAUGGAAUUUGUUUGUAGGCUUUAACUUUACCAGUCAGGUUUACUAAUAAAACAUUCACAUGUACUGGAAGUGAAACACAAUCAUCCUUGUCUCUUUUGGCCUGUCUAAUGCCUGUACCUGCAGGAAGUUCACACUGUAAGAACAGUUCUCAUAGGCAGGAGGUUAGAGUCUUCAGUUUUCCUACAUGAUUUGCUAACCCUCUGCUUACUAUAAAACCAUUACUCAAAUACCUUUAGACUUUACCAUAGUUAUUAAUCUGCUUGAUGCGAAACAACUUUUGUAUUUUUCUAGCUAAUGUAUUGUAUAAGCUAUAGGAGAACACGUGGGAAAUUUAUUGUCUGAAACAUAUGAUAGGAGGAACUGCUUUUUAAAGAGUUUUGUUUUUGUAUUCAUUUGAGAUAGAACAAGUUGAAGGAAUUAUUGGUUGAAGAAGUCAAAUGAUUUAAAUCAGAUCUUGUGUGUGAAUGCUUGCGUGCGUGUGUAUUUAUUGAAGAAAAUGUGUCUCAAUUUGAGAACUGGAAAAUUGGAUAUUUGAUUUUAAUUAUAUUUUUAUUUAUU
ensembl:lncRNA